GACGUAGGAGGCGAGCGUUGUCCGGAUUCAUUGGGCGUAAAGAGCACGCAGGCGGUUUGACAAGUCGGACGUGAAAAUCCGGGGCUCAACCCCGGACCUGCAUCCGAAACUGCCCGACUAGAGGUAGGUAGGGGAGAUCGGAAUUCCUGGUGUAGCGGUGAAAUGCGCAGAUAUCAGGAGGAACACCGGUGGCGAAGGCGGAUCUCUGGGCCUUACCUGACGCUCAGGUGCGAAAGCUAGGGGAGCGAACAGG
rnacentral:rRNA from 1 species